UACGGAGGAUGCAAGCGUUAUCCGGAAUCAUUGGGCGUAAAGCGUCCGCAGGUGGCUAUGUAAGUCUGCUGUUAAAGAGUGAGGCUCAACCUCAUAAGAGCAGUGGAAACUACAUGGCUAGAGUGCGUUCGGGGCAGAGGGAAUUCCUGGUGUAGCGGUGAAAUGCGUAGAGAUCAGGAAGAACACCGGUGGCGAAAGCGCUCUGCUAGGCCGCAACUGACACUCAUGGACGAAAGCUAGGGGAGCGAAUGGG
rnacentral:rRNA from 1 species